CGCUGGCGGCAUGCCUAAUACAUGCAAGUCGAACGAGGUUUACUUCGGUAAACCUAGUGGCGAACGGGUGAGUAACACGUGAGGAACUUGCCCUAAUGUCGAGGAUAACCAUUGGAAACGAUGGCUAAUACUGGAUAGGACAUUAAGACGCAUGUCUAAAUGUUUAAAGACGCUUUUAAGCGUCGCAUUAGGAGAGCCUUGCGCAGCAUUAGCUAGUUGGUAGGGUAACGGCCUACCAAGGCAACGAUGCUUAGCUGGAUUGAGAGGUUGAACAGCCACACUGGUACUGAGACACGGACCAGACUCCUACGGGAGGCAGCAGUAGGGAAUUUUCGUCAAUGUGGGAAACCGCGAACGAGCAAUGCCGCGUGAACGAUGAAGAUCUUCGGAUCGUAAAGUUCUGUUGUUAAGGAAGAACAGUUUUGCUAGGAAAUGAGCAGGAUUUGACGGUACUUAACCAGAAAGCUCCGGCUAACUACGUGCCAGCAGCCGCGGUAAUACGUAGGGAGCGAGCGUUAUCCGGAAUUAUUGGGCGUAAAGCGUACGCAGGCGGCCUAUUAAGUCAAAUGUGAAAGCCCACGGCUUAACCGUGGAGGGUCAUUUGAAACUGGUAGGCUAGAGUAUGGUAGAGGUUUAGUGGGAAUGCGAUGUGUAGCGGUAAAAUGCGUAANAUAUAUCGUGGAACACCCAGUGGCGAAGGCGGCUAACUGGGACCAGAACUGGACGCUGAAGNUACGAAAGCGUGGGGAGCAAACAGGGAUUAGAUAC
rnacentral:rRNA from 1 species